rnacentral:rRNA from 1 species
GACGAACGCUGGCGGCGUGCUUAACACAUGCCAGUCGAACGGAAAGGCCCUGCUUGCAGGGUACUCGAGUGGCGAACGGGUGAGUAACACGUGGGUGAUCUGCCCUGCACUUCGGGAUAAGCCUGGGAAACUGGGUCUAAUACCGGAUAGGAGCCAUUUUUAGUGUGAUGGUUGGAAAGUUUUUUCGGUGUAGGAUGAGCUCGCGGCCUAUCAGCUUGUUGGUGGGGUAAUGGCCUACCAAGGCGGCGACGGGUAGCCGGCCUGAGAGGGUGGACGGCCACAGUGGGACUGAGAUACGGCCCAGACUCCGACGGGAGGCAGCAGUGGGGAAUAUUGCACAAGGGGCGCAAGCCUGAUGCAGCGACGCCGCGUGGGGGAUGACGGCCUUCGGGUUGUAAACUCCUUUCGCUAGGGACGAAGCUUUUUGUGACGGUACCUAGAUAAGAAGCACCGGCUAACUACGUG